rnacentral:rRNA from 1 species
UACAGAGGGUGCGAGCGUUGUCCGGAAUCACUGGGCGUAAAGGGCGCGUAGGUGGUGGCUUAAGCGUGCGGUGAAAGCUCGGGGCUCAACUCCGAGUCGGCCGUGCGAACUGGGCUCACUGGAGCAUAGUAGAGGCAGGUGGAAUUCCGGGUGUAGCGGUGGAAUGCGUAGAGAUCCGGAAGAACACCGGUGGCGAAGGCGGCCUGCUGGGCUAUGGCUGACACU